rnacentral:rRNA from 1 species
UACGUAGGGAGCAAGCGUUGUCCGGAAUCAUUGGGCGUAAAGCGCGCGUAGGCGGCCCUGUAAGUCCGUUGUGAAAGUCAAAGGCUCAACCUUCGAAAGCCGAUGGAUACUGCGGAGCUAGAGUACGGAAGAGGCGAGUGGAAUUCCUGGUGUAGCGGUGGAAUGCGCAGAUAUCAGGAGGAACACCGAUAGCGUAGGCAGCUCGCUGGGACGUGACUGACGCUGAGGCGCGAAAGCGUGGGUAGCGAACAGG